rnacentral:misc_RNA from 1 species
ACAGGAUGUUGUUUAUCAGUAAAUGAUCAUCUCAUGGUGUUUGAAGUCUACAGUCAUACACAAGGGUCGAUUGCCUUCAUCAGAAGAUUUUUGGCUUAAGUUCAGGAGAGAAAUAUUGCAUGCGAUCCAUUUUUCUAUACAUUAUGGUUUCAUUAAUUAUUUUUAUGACGUCCCAGCACUUGUUAAUGAUUUUAUGGGAUGCCUUUUUUUCGGUUAGCCCCAUGGAAAAGGGAAUGUUUUGGAUAUAAAUCAAUAAAACACACAAGGUAUUGGCUAUUGCUUUGCCUUUCACAUGUACCA